UUUUUUUUUUUUUUGUACUGGGGAUCGAACCCAACACCUUGCACUUGCCAGGCAGGCGUUUAUACUGCUGAGCUAAAUUCUUGGCUCCUGAAGUUUGUAUCUUUUUAUUUGGUAAAAAAAUGUAACACAACAUUUGCCAUUUUAACCAUUUUUUAAAAACAGUGCUGGGAUCAAGACCAGUGCCUUACAACUGCUAAGUAGGGGCUGCAUCUCCUGCCCACAGUUUAACCAAGUAAGUGUACACGUUAGUGGUACUAAGUACAGCCACACUGAUGUCCCGAUCUUCAGCACAGCCCGUCUCCAGAACGUUUUUAUCCUGCCAAACUGAAACUGUCUACCAAUUAAUUAGUAAUUCUCCUGCCUCCUCACAACCACCCUUUCUCUUUCUGUCUCUAGGAAUUUGGAUACUUCAGGCUCCUCAUAUAAAUGUACCUUGCAGUAUUUGUCCUUUUUUGUGGUAUUAGAACUGAACCCUGAGCACUCACUUUGAGCUACAUCCCUGGCCCGUUUUUUUAUUUUUUAUUUUGAGAUAGGGUCUUGCUAAGUUGCUAUAUUGCCAAGGCUGGGUUUAAACCUGCAAUUCUCAGUGCCUCCCAGAAUGCAAGGUUCACCGGUGUGCAUCACCAUCUGCCGAUAUUUGGUCUUUUGUGGUUGGCUUAUUUCACCUAGCAGAGUAUCUUAAAGGCUCAAACAUCUUGUAGCAAGUGUCAAAAUAUCUUCUAUUUAAGGCUGAAUAAUAUCCCACUGUAUGUAUACAAUAGUUUGUUUUUAAAUUCUUAUUAUGACAAAAUUCAAAGAUACUUAAAAACUUAUGCCAGGCAUGGUGGUGUAUGCCUGUAAUCCUAGCGCUUGGGAGGCUGAGGCAGUAAGAUAACUAUGAGUUCAAGGCCAGCCUGGGCUACAAAGUGAGUUCAAGGCCAUUGGCAGUUGUUCAGGCUGAGGUGUGGCCAUCUCUGCAGGGCUCCUGGGACAUGCACUGGAUGCCAGGCGACUGUAGCAAGCAUCCAGGAUGCACUGUGGCACAGGCUCAGUGCCCAGUGCAGCUGAGCUGUACAGUGAAAUCCUGUCUCAAAAAGAAGAAGAAAAAGAAGAAGAAGAAGAAGAAGAAGAAGAAGAAGAAGAAGAAGAACAACAACAACAACAACAACAACAACAACAACAGCAACAGAAAACACUUAAAAACUAAUAAACAGUAAAGUGCAUUCACGGGUACAUAUAGUGUAAUGCAUCCGUUAUCCAUCUCCAAAAAAUUUAUUUCAUCUAUACUUCCACUUAUUCUAUCUCCUACCCUAUUAAGCUAAUUUCAACUUAAUUUGCAAAUAUUUCAGUACACAUCUAAAAGGGCUCAUAUUAAAAACGUAAUCACAGCAUCGUUAUAUUCCAAGACGUUUAAUGAUUCCUUUGUAUGAUCACCUAUCAAGUAAAUGUUUGUAUUUCUAUAUACAUUUUAAUGUUUGAUUUGAUUAUAUGUUUUUAUAUUUGUAGUAGGCCAUUUUAGGCUUUCCAAGAGCUGAUCGUGAUAGAGAGUCCGGUUCAAAACCAAGAUAAAUGAGUUUUGAGCUAGUCAGACUCUAGCAGAAACUUCCUGGACUUGGAAAAUCUUUUAUUUUCCUGGCACUUGUAAGCUGUUUUCUCAAAAGCAAGAAGAGCAAAGCAGUGAAUAGCUGUUCCUUUGGAGCUGACAGCUUUCAAGAUUUCAUGUUAUUUGUUUGUCUUCUCUGUUCUGUAUUUGGCUCCUUACAUGCUUCCCCAGGAAAAUUUAGUAGUUCUAAUUUUGAGAUAGGUAAGAAGAGCACAUCAUCUGCCUGGAGCUGUUAAUUGUAACCCGAAAAUGAAAAGGCAAAAGAAUGAAAAAGAAAGAAAAAGAACAGAGAUCUUGGAGGACAUGGCAUGCCAAAUCUAAUGGCACCCUCCAGAGUACCAUGAUUACAGGGAUGUAGCACCCUCCCAGCUGAGCCACAAUAUCUGAACUAAAGUGGUGAACCGUCUUUGAUCACAUGAGUGAGGACAACAGCCUAAUCGGAGGGUGAAGCAGAAAGAAAAGACUGAGCUCUUGGUAAGCGCCCUGGUGCGGGCCAGGAAGAGAGCCAGAGCUCCCGAGAUCCGGCCAUGGAGGGACUUAGGCAGCUUAUUCUUCCGCCCUCUUGGUAAGUGACGCAGGAGUGGGCCAGGAGGAGAAACAGUGCCCCCCUGAGCCUACCGGCAUGCAGGCUGAGAAUCAAACACCCUCACACCCCUGUAGCAACUGGGGACAGAUGUCUCAGCAUCUCUUGGGAGGAUGACCAUAUGCAAUAUAGCAAAUAUGGGGGAUUUCCUUCUAUCUUCUGUUUGAAGGCAAAGUUGUUUUCACUGUUUUGUUUUGUUGUUUCUUUUGCUCUAUUCAGUACUCUCAAUUGGUUUGAUAAUGUUCUGUUUUUGGUUUUAUUUUGCUAUACCUAAUUGACUGGACGACUAUUGUGAAGGUAAGGAGAUAUACCAUUGUACCUAUGUUAUGGGUUAAGAACUGGAUUAUGAAUUAAUGCCAGCUGGAUUACAUCAGCAUGGUAUUGAGUGAAGAUGCUCCACCUGAGGAAAGUUGCCAGGAUAGAUAGAGAAAAACGGAGGUGUUAAGGGUUGAGGCGUUAAGGAGGCAUUGUGGGUUCUCCUACAAGUUGCUGUUUGAGCUGUUGGUUCUCCUGGAGGAGCUUUGGUCCUCACAUUGAGCAUUGCUUCCUGCUCCGGAGGGGAAGAUGUGUGCUGCUUGGUCUCCAGGAUGAACUCGUCACACUGCUUCCUGGCAUGUACCCAACUGUUCUUGUUGGAGGAGCUCGGGGCCUCCGUGUCGCUGAGGACGGCUGUGGUACCUUUCUGGACAGCCCUGGUCUUUGUUGUGAGUGUGACUUCUUGGCUCCAGCGUAGAACCCUCAUCCCACUAGCACAGCUCCUUCACCCUGCUGGCAUAGACUUUCUGGCUUCCACCGCUGACCCUUGGGUCUUCCCGGCACAGAUCCGUAAAAAAGACUAGUGUGAGUCCUUCUUGUGGGCUCUGGACCUCCAGUUGGACUCGUGGGAGGCAUUGUCCUGAGAUCUGGGUUUUUAUGCGGACUCGUGGGACAUUGCUGUGUGAUUUAGGCUCUUGAUUAAUCUAUGUCUUUGGUGUUUCGGAUAGAUUUCCUGCAUUUUCCUGUGUUAACUCCCGGUGACCAUUAUAAAAAUUGUAUAAUAAACUCCAUGUCUGGAUCCUAAUUGUUCUCUGUGUACAACCCCUGACUACAACAACCUAUUACUACCAUCCCAAUAUCCUGCCGUGAAGUUCUGUACCAAGUUCACUGCAUUGUCUUGAUCGGCUUUGUUCUGUCUUGUUCUGUUAUAUUUUUACUACCUUCAAAAUAAAAUUAAAAAAAAGAUAAGACAA